GGAAGCCGACAGAGGACUUCAUGUAAUCUUUUUUAAUUCACCUUGUUAUCCCGAGAUAAUGACAUCAUUAAUUAGAGAUCUGGAGAAAACACUUUUAUUCCGUGAUCUCGAGAAAACAGAUAAUUAUUCCAGACGAAGCCAGGCCAGUCUUCUGCGGAGGUGCUGCGGACUAAUUUUGAAAUUAUCCCUUAUUAAAAGACUUAAUGCAAUCUCUGCCUGUGUCAACCCCUGAUCAAAAUAUUGCCUUAUUAGGUGAUCGAUUAUUCCAGACAUUCUAAAGACCAGCGUUGCAUCUUUACAGAAUGAGAUAUAGCCCCGAAGUCAUCAUACAAGCCUCUUGGCGUAGCCUACCUGAAUGACCCAUUUGUCAGCUGUUUACUCGAGAUCAUGAAA